rnacentral:tRNA from 1 species
GGACCGGUUAGCUCAGUGGUUUGAGCGCGGUGCUGACAAUGACAACACCGAGGUUGUGGGUUCGGUUCCCGCUUGGUCCC